rnacentral:sRNA from 1 species
AAAUAUCAUUAAUAAGAUGAAAUGUAUAAGGACUCGAUAGUCCAAUUUACUCAUGUGUAUAGAAAGGCUAAUCGUUUAGCUUAUGGAUUACCAAAUUAUGUGUUUUUGUUAUUGCUUAGUCUACAUAUAUUUGAUGUUUGUCGAAAUGUCUGAGUGUAGUUAUUAUGUUAUGAAUAAAUCGUAGGCGCUUUUGCCCUCUACAUAUUACUAAAAAAAUGGAAUGUAUAGAACUAAAUGACAAUUUAUUACGAUGAAAUAGAUAAUACAAACUUACGAUGUAUAGUAAAAUUAAAUGUAUAUU